rnacentral:ribozyme from 1 species
UUACUUUUUAUUUUUAUUUUCUUUUUUUUUUUUGCCUCUCGCAACCUCUUAAAACUCAUGCGUUGUGGGCACUUGUAAAUACGUAUGCAGGUCAGAUUC